rnacentral:rRNA from 1 species
GACGAACGCUGGCGGCGUGCUUAACACAUGCAAGUCGAACGAAGUGGCGAACGGGUGAGUAACGCGUAAUCAACCUGCCCUUCAGAGGGGGACAACAGUUGGAAACGACUGCUAAUACCGCAUACUGAAGGAGGGGAUUGCGUCUGAUUAGCUAGUUGGAGGGGUAACGGCCCACCAAGGCGAUGAUCAGUAGCCGGGCUGGCAGGAUUGACGGCCACAUUGGGAAUGAUACACGGCCCAGACUCCCACGGGAGGCAGCAGUGGGGACUCUUCCGCAAUGGACGAAAGUCUGGCGGAGCAAAGCCGGGGGAGUGAUGACGGCCUUCGGGUUGUAAAGCUCUGUUAAUCGGGACGCGGUACCGGAAUAGAAAGCCACGGCUAACUACGUGCCAGCAGCCGCGGUAAUAC